UAAUUCAGGUGACUGUUUCCACUGAUCGUCCAUGAAAUGUUUCUGCAGCUUAAUUGGAGUCCACCUGGGGUAAAUGCAGUUGAUUGGACAUGAUUUGGAAAGGCACACACCUGUCUACAUGUAAGGUCCCACAGUUGACAGUGCAUGUCAGAGCACA